GGCAAAGUUCACAGUUGAAUGUGUUUUUUCACUGUUGACUUAUUUAACUCUUCUUACUGUUUUUUAAGUUCAAUAACCGCAAUAUCAUUCCAGAAGUCAACAUGUAAUCAUGUUAAAUUAUCGUGAUUUCAGUCUUGACCAAAAUAAUCGUGAUUAUAUUUAUUUUACAUAAUACAG